GACGAACGCUGGCGGCGUGCUUAACACAUGCAAGUCGAACGGAAAGGCCCCAGCUUGCUGGAGUACUCGAGUGGCGAACGGGUGAGUAACACGUGGGUAAUCUGCCCUGCACUCUGGGAUAAGCCUGGGCAACUGGGUCUAAUACUGGAUAUGACCUUUCUCCUUAUGGGGUUUGGUGGAAAGUUUUUCGGUGUAGGAUGAGACCGCGGCCUGUCAGCUUGUUGGUGGGGUGAUGGCCUACCAAGGCGACGACGGGUAGCCGGCCUGAGAGGGUGAGCGGCCACAUUGGGACGGAGAUAAGGCCCAGACUCGUACGGGAGGCAGCAGUGGGGAAUAUUGCACAAUGGGCGGAAGCCUGAUGCAGCGACGCCGCGUGAGGGAUGACGGCCUUCGGGUUGUAAACCUCUUUCAGCAGGGACGAAGCGUAAGUGACGGUACCUGCAGAAGAAGCACCGGCUAACUAUGUG
rnacentral:rRNA from 1 species